GCUUCACACAGACAAAGGGCACAUUUAUUCAGGAAAGCAAAAAGAAAAAAAGUGUAUGUGUGAUGAUGUCAAUCUUUUCGCACACCAGUUGCCAUGGCAUUCUGCGCUUGCUUGUAUUAUUAUUUCUUUAUUUUUUUUUAGGCAUGAUCGAUCAGUCAGUCAAUCCAUCCAGCUUGCAAAUAGAUGUUUGAAACAUAGUAAAGUGUUAAGUGCUAAAGAAACCGGCCCUUGUAAGAUCAACAUAAGAACAAUGUCAAUAUCAGAACAAUAGCCAAUUACCAAAAGAAGAGUCGAUCAAUCAUAGUUAAUUUGCGCAGGAAGACGCAACACAAAGUGCUUUGCACGGAUUAGCAUCAAUGGCGCCUGCGAAGCUUAUGAAGAAGCAAACAAGUCUGAUCUUACUUGCGUCUGUAUAAGGCGGUGUGAAGUCUUACCAGUUAAAUGUAAUCAUGUCAGACUUAUACGCAAAGACGCAUGCUGGCGUUAAAACAGUGACCAUGUAUGUGUGCGUUCAUUUUUGUGAGUUUCUGACUGUUUUUCUUGCCGAUCUUAGCAUGCGGGUGUUUUGUAUCUUUGGGCUUUGGUUGGAGUGAGUUUGUGCAUCUGCGUGUUUUGUGUUGGUCAGAUUUGUUUCGAGCGUGUGCUCUUAUGUACCUCCGUACCUCCUCCUAUAGUCCGUGCUCCUCCCUGCCUGUGUGUGUGUGUUUUCCUUCUUGCGUGAUUGUGUGUGUGUGUGUGUGUGUGUGUGUGUGUGUGUGCGUGCCUGUGUGUGUGUGUGCGUGUGUGUGUGUCGCGAGAUAACAUUGUUGUCACAGAAAUCUAUCAGCUCCAACAGGAUUGCUUUUCGCCGGCUUUGCUUGCUCCUGUGUUUCAUUCUUGUUUCCUGCACCUCAGCCUUGCCCCCCCUCCCCCAGCCAACCCCGGCCCGCCCCGACCCCCACACACACACCUUCUCCCAUCACUCUUAAGAUUUUCACUCCCAAAGCAACACCACCAGUUGCACUUAAUAGUUUAGACACUUCGGUGUGCGUGCACGUGCAUGUGUGCACGUGGUCAUCUCCUCUAAACGAUUCCCCCACUGAGAGUGAAAUAGAUACGAGGGAGACGGCGGGACGGGAGCGCGGAUGCAUGCGGAGAAGUCGGAGAUAGAUGACAAGUUGGGAGGGAUGGAAAGGCGGGGAGGGGGGACGCUUGGGAGGGCGCAACAUGGCGGAAAAAUGAGCGAUGGAGGCCAGAGAAGUACGAAGAUGUAUGGGAGGGCGGCCGGCUGGAGGAGAAAUGAGUUAAGCAGCGAGCAGGUGUGAUAGAGCUCAGCUUGCACGUUUCAUUUGUCACUGGGAAUAUGCCCGCCAUGUUGGCACGUGUGUCACCUGCUCCGCCCUCAUCGGCGAACGGACAUAUACAAAACAGGUUUGUUAAACUGAGCUGAACUCAAGCUAUGUGUGCCACCCGAGUUGGGUGAAACUGCAGGCCUUUGACCUCACGUGCGUUGGCCCCUUCCUGGUGGUCCAGGGGUCUCUUUGCAGAAUGUUGGAGUGAGCAGGAAGAGAGGCAGACUUGAAAAAGACAUUGAAAGAGACAGGGGAGAGAUUUAACAAAAAGAGAGAGGGGGGAGGGGAUAAACAAAGUGAAAAAUCUCACAGCCAUAAUCUUGACUCAGCCCAGAGAGCCUUUGCCAAGCUGACCGCGAAGCGCAUGCACGCAUGCCACGUUUAAGACAGAGUGAAAAUCAAUGCGAGCGCUGCUGCUCUGCAUGAUAAUGAGAAAGGCGUGCUGCUUGAGCGUGUCUUUGUAACGUUUGUGUGUGUGAGGUCAAAUCCCAACUAAGUCGACACUUUGUUGUCAUAUCCGGUGUGUAUUUGUAAGGAUAAACCCUGCCGGCGGAAUUCCACGAGGGGACGUCAGGCCCGAACAAGUCACUCCAUAACACGCUCCCAUGCGCGCACAAGAAUCUGAGCAGGAAAUUGAUAGCCAGAAAACAGCAAUCGACUGAACAAUUGCGAAGGAAUGAAAAUCACCAAAAUAAAAGCAAGUUGAAUAGCGAGAAAGCAAUACCCAUGAAACGAUAGCAAUCAAAGCAUCGAAAUAAUAGCGAGGAAACUAAAGCAGCAACAUGAGAGCGACAAAAACAUAAUGUGUCGAGGGACGGGCCGCAGGUAUCGGGCCUGUAACAGCAUGGUGGCGAUACUGACGGCAAAAAAA